rfam:Triticum aestivum genome assembly, contig: Triticum_aestivum_CS42_TGACv1_scaffold_499422_6BL
UAGCAAAAGAUGGCUUUACUCGGAUUCCACUUCAGGACAUCAAAACGAUGAUGCCAAAUCAAGUCUCUGAUGCA